rnacentral:piRNA from 1 species
AUUGAAACAGUGGUCCCCAAAAAAU